UACGUAGGGGGCAAGCGUUGUCCGGAUUUAUUGGGCGUAAAGAGCGUGUAGGCGGCUUUACAGGUCCGUUGUGAAAACUCGAGGCUCAACCUCGAGACGCCGGUGGAAACCGUAAGGCUUGAGACCGGGAGAGGUGAGUGGAAUUCCCAGUGUAGCGGUGAAAUGCGUAGAUAUUGGGAGGAACACCAGUGGCGAAGGCGGCUCACUGGACCGGAACUGACGCUGAGGCGCGAAAGCGUGGGGAGCAAACAGG
rnacentral:rRNA from 1 species